GUCAGCAUGGCAUAGUGGUUUCAGCACUGAACUACAACUCUGGAAACCCGGGUUCAAUCCCCAGCUCAGCCA